GUUGUAUAGUCAAGUAAUUAAGUGCAUGUGGUGGAUGCCUUGGCAGUCAGAGGCGAUGAAAGACGUGAUAGCCUGCGAAAAGCUCCGGGGAGGCGGCAAAUAUCCUUUGAUCCGGAGAUGUCUGAAUGGGGGAACCCACCUACUUUAAGGUAGGUAUUGCAACAUGAAUACAUAGUGUUGCAAGGCGAACGAGGGGAAGUGAAACAUCUCAGUACCCUUAGGAAAAGAAAUCAAUUGAGAUUCCCUCAGUAGCGGCGAGCGAACGGGGAUCAGCCCAUUAAGUUAUGUGUGUUUUAGUGGAACGCUCUGGGAAGUGCGAACGUAGAGGGUGAUAUUCCCGUACACGAAAGGGCACACAUAAUGAUGACGAGUAGGGCGAGGCACGUGAAACCUUGUCUGAAUAUGGGGGGACCAUCCUCCAAGGCUAAAUACUCCUGACUGACCGAUAGUGAACCAGUACCGUGAGGGAAAGGCGAAAAGAACCCCUGUGAGGGGAGUGAAAUAGAUCCUGAAACCGCAUGCAUACAAGCAGUGGGAGCACCUUCGUGGUGUGACUGCGUACCUUUUGUAUAAUGGGUCAGCGACUUAUAUUCAGUAGCGAGGUUAACCGUAUAGGGGAGCCGUAGAGAAAUCGAGUCUUAAUAGGGCGUUUAGUUGCUGGGUAUAGACCCGAAACCAGGCGAUCUAUCCAUGAGCAGGUUGAAGGUUGGGUAACACUAACUGGAGGACCGAACCCACUGUCGUUGAAAAGCCAGGGGAUGACUUGUGGAUAGGGGUGAAAGGCUAAUCAAGCCUGGUGAUAGCUGGUUCUCCCCGAAAGCUAUUUAGGUAGCGCCUCGGACGAAUACCAUAGGGGGUAGAGCACUGUUUCGGCUAGGGGGUCAUCCCGACUUACCAAACCGAUGCAAACUCCGAAUACCUAUGAGUACUAUCCGGGAGACAGACUGCGGGUGCUAACGUCCGUAGUCAAGAGGAAAACAAUCCAGACCGCCAGCUAAGGCCCCAAAAUCAUAGUUAAGUGGGAAACGAUGUGGGAAGGCAUAGACAGCUAGGAGGUUGGCUUAGAAGCAGCCACCCUUUAAAGAAAGCGUAAUAGCUCACUAGUCGAGUCGGCCUGCGCGGAAGAUGUAACGGGGCUAAAACUAUGUGCCGAAGCUGCGGAUGUAUACUUUGUAUACGUGGUAGGGGAGCGUUCUGUAAGCCGAUGAAGGUGUUGAGAAGCAUGCUGGAGGUAUCAGAAGUGCGAAUGCUGACGUGAGUAACGACAAAACGGGUGAAAAACCCGUUCGCCGAAAGACCAAGGGUUCCAGUCCAACGUUAAUCGGGGCUGGGUGAGUCGACCCCUAAGGCGAGGCCGAAAGGCGUAGUCGAUGGGAAAAUGGUUAAUAUUCCAUUACUUCUGUGUAAUGCGAUGAGAGGACGGAGAAGGCUAAAUCAGCCUGGCGUUGGUUGUCCAGGUGAAAGGAUGUAGGCAUGUAUCUUAGGCAAAUCCGGGGUACUCUAUGCUGAGAUCUGAUAGCAAGCUGUACUUGUACAGCGAAGUGGUUGAUGCCAUGCUUCCAGGAAAAGUCUCUAAGCUUCAGUUACACAGGAAUCGUACCCGAAACCGACACAGGUGGUCAGGUCGAGUAGACCAAGGCGCUUGAGAGAACUCUGCUGAAGGAACUAGGCAAAAUGGUACCGUAACUUCGGGAGAAGGUACGCUGUUGUUGGUGAUGGAACUCGCUUCCUGAGCUGACGACAGCCGCAGAAACCAGGCCGCUGCAACUGUUUAUUAAAAACAUAGCACUCUGCAAACACGAAAGUGGACGUAUAGGGUGUGAUGCCUGCCCGGUGCUGGAAGGUUAAUUGAUGGGGUUAGCGUAAGCGAAGCUCUUGAUCGAAGCCCCAGUAAACGGCGGCCGUAACUAUAACGGUCCUAAGGUAGCGAAAUUCCUUGUCGGGUAAGUUCCGACCUGCACGAAUGGCAUAAUGAUGGCGGCGCUGUCUCCAGCAGAGGCUCAGUGAAAUCGAAAUCGCUGUGAAGAUGCAGUGUACCCGCGGCUAGACGGAAAGACCCCGUGAACCUUUACUGCAGCUUGACACUGAACUUUGACCUUACUUGUGUAGGAUAGGUGGGAGGCUUUGAAGCUGGAACGCUAGUUCCAGUGGAGCCGUCCUUGAAAUACCACCCUGGUAAUGUUGAGGUUCUAACUCUGUCCCGUGAUCCGGGACGAGGACCGUGUCUGGUGGGUAGUUUGACUGGGGCGGUCUCCUCCUAAAGAGUAACGGAGGAGUACGAAGGUGCGCUCAGCGUGGUCGGAAAUCACGCGUAGAGUAUAAAGGCAAAAGCGCGCUUAACUGCGAGACCCACAAGUCGAGCAGGUACGAAAGUAGGUCUUAGUGAUCCGGUGGUUCUGUAUGGAAGGGCCAUCGCUCAACGGAUAAAAGGUACUCUGGGGAUAACAGGCUGAUACCGCCCAAGAGUUCAUAUCGACGGCGGUGUUUGGCACCUCGAUGUCGGCUCAUCUCAUCCUGGGGCUGAAGCAGGUCCCAAGGGUAUGGCUGUUCGCCAUUUAAAGAGGUACGCGAGCUGGGUUUAGAACGUCGUGAGACAGUUCGGUCCCUAUCUACCGUGGGCGCUGGAAAUUUGAGAGGAUCUGCUCCUAGUACGAGAGGACCAGAGUGGACGAACCUCUGGUGUACCGGUUGUGACGCCAGUCGCAUCGCCGGGUAGCUAUGUUCGGAAGGGAUAACCGCUGAAAGCAUCUAAGCGGGAAGCCUACCUCAAGAUAAGAUUUCCCUAGGACUUUAUGUCCUCUAAAGAGCCGUUCGAGACUAGGACGUUGAUAGGUUGGAUGUGGAAGCAUAGUGAUAUGUGAAGCUGACCAAUACUAAUUGCUCGUGAGGCUUGACUAUACAACACCCAAGCAGUUG
rnacentral:rRNA from 1 species